GAACUCUACUGACUAGUUUUUUCUUCUCUUGCAGCCACAGAACGUAUGUACAUUGGUGGUCAGCUUUGAGUUGUGUUCAAGUCCAAGAGAAGAGUCUGAGCAGCUCCAAAGUGCGGACCGUUGCAAACACCGUUACAAAACUCAGGAAAACAGAUAACAACAUCUUCCUUCCCCAAAUCAGUCGUGUUGUCAGUGAGUCAUCAGGUUGCCCCGUUUACCUCACUGAAACGCUUGCCAAGCUCGGGGCGCACUUACAUAAGCCCCCACUUCAAAUGAAUCAAGUUGAAAGCGUACGAGGAGCACAAGCCUUUACAGGAAGGAAUCCUUCAAGAGAAAGAGUUUCCAGAGCUGACAGGUUUUUCAGAGAGUCUAAUGAAGCAACUGGCUGUGAUCCAGACAGUUUCUAAAACUUUAGGAAGGAGGAGACAAUGUAGGUUUACCAGCAGACUUUACGAAGUACUUUGACCUGUGUGGCUGCUCUGCUCAGGUUCUGAGAAUAUCGCUUACAGAUCUUUGGCUCACUACAGACACUGGCUCCAGCGAGUCCAGACAACAGCCAAGGGAGGCGUGGGCGCUCUCACUCCAUCAGACGUAAACAGACGUCCUCUCCAGCGCCUGAUGACAUCGGCAGAGUGUCGCCCACUGGCGUUCCUCUACUCAUGUUCUUUCACCUGGAUUUCAGUGUUUGAUUGACAAAACGUCCCAUUGAUGAGGUGAAUUAAAACCCAAAAUCUACAGACAAAAUCUGUGAUUUCAAGACCAUGAACAACAACCUCACAGCCUAAUUCUGUUUCUUGAUAUGGAUGGUAUGGUUGGUCUGAAUCAUUUGUCAAAGCCUAAGAGUAAUUUUACCGUAACUUGACUGUUUACACAUCCAACAAUAUGCACAUCACUCCUGCAAGAAAUCUAAACAAAAACAAACCUUUCCUGCAAAUUGUUCACAUUCUCACCCUGAGGGUUCAUUCAUAUUUUGAAAUAUGACAUUUUGAGGGACAUCCUCAAACCUUGAAGUUUCAGCAAUUUAUAGUGUCAGUGGUUUGAAUGUUGUUUAACAUGCUGUGUUAGCUCUUCUCUGUUAGCAUUUCAGUUUUCUCUGGUCUGCAUUGCAAAGCCUUUGAGCCUCUCACAUGCAAAUUACACUUCAUGGGAAUGGUUAUGUGAAGCAAAAUAACAGAUGCAAUACUUUUCUUUAAAGUACAUUGGCAGAUUGUUUUAAGGAUUUUUCCUGUUAUUACAACCAGAUGUGAUGUGUGUAAUACUAGGUCAAAUAAUAUUUGGUCUGUGAGUGAGUGAGAAUAUAUGGAGAUGAUUUAAACGGAACAAAUAUACA